UUUGUCCUUUCAUCUAGAUUUGGAAUUUGAUGGUCUAUAUGAUCGUUUUCUCACUUUUAGACCAUAUAUGACAACUUAAAAAUUCAUCAGACCAUAUAAAUUGACAUCAUUUCAAUAAAAAAUCAGAACACCAACACGCCAUUAAGAUAACCCAACACCCUUUUUCCUUCUCAUUUCCAUUUAAGUUUUUCUAUUUUAGAAAUGUAAAUUGUAUGAUCAUUCAAAUUAGACCUAUAACUUUGUGCCUCCCAAAGUGAUGAUUGGAAAUUGGAAUGACAAUGAGUUUAAAUUCUUCCCAUCUUCUUCUUGUUUUCUUGGGUGUCCUCCUUUCUCUCAGAUCUAUUUUAUCUGUAAAACAUUAAUUAGAAAGAGGGUGUGAUAUGCUUCUUCAUGUAAUGCUCCCCUAAAGAUACUUCAUCAAAAUUUCUUCAGGGAUUAUCUUCUUCAUUCAUAAGCUUCUUACUUAGAUGAUGGAUGAAACUGAAUCUUAUGAAAAAAAAUAUAAGAAGCAUUUGAAGGAGAAAGAGCAGAAAAGAAUGAAAAAGCUCAUGGAUCUUUUUCUACGCAGUGCUUCCUCUGCAGAGAAAUCCAUGAGGUCUCUGGAAAAAGAGAAUGCAAGACUAGAAACUGUUCUUGAAGGAAUACAACGACUUCAGCUGCGAAUUGUAGAGAUGAUAAGGGAUCCAAAUGCCCCAACAAGAAGAAGUAUCGGUAUUCUUCUUGUAAAAGAAUCACAGCGAAUUGCAGGAAUGAGAUCAACCAUUGAAGCGGUGGAGAAGAUCUUAUCUGUAUUUGACACCUCUUUACUGCAAGAUCAUCCCAACAAGCGAAAAGAAUUCAAAGAUCAUCCCCUAAUUGAAAAAAGAGUGCUACAGUUUGCUGCAAAGGCUCACUUUAUCAACACCUCUUAUGACAUAAAGCCCAAGAUUUCAAUCACAAGAUCUUCAAGCAUUUGAAUUUUUUGUUCUAGUUUUCAAUGGGGAUUCCAGAUUUGAAACUGUCAAACAAAAUAUCUUAGUUCUUGUUGCAGGCUUGGUACAGAGCAAGGGGAUUUAAGCAAAUCUUUGAUUUCUUUUUUCUUUCCAAUCAUAUUCAGUCUCUGCAUUUGAAGAUGAUAUAAUAGCAUAUCUUGUAAGGGAAGAAAAUGGGUUACAGCUUAGACACAGAAAUCCCUGCAGAACAUCAAUAUAUUGAGACUGCAUAGUUUCAUACCAUGAUAUCUGUACAAGUGCUUCUGUCAUAAAAUCAUGUCUACUUUUGAAGUACUGGUAUUGUUUUUCAUUGGGUAUCUAACUUAUAAUGUAGUUGUUCUUCAAGUUUAACUAUUUUAAUUUUGUUUCUUGGUA